rnacentral:misc_RNA from 1 species
AAAAAAACCUUGGAAAACAGAACAGAGAGAGACGUAAACCGAAGCCUUUUCCAUUCCCCCAUAAACCCCCAAAAUACAUCAUUUCUAUUCCUUUUAUUAUCCAUUCCCUUCUCUCUCUCUCUCUCCAUAUACCCCCUCUGCUAAUUUCCCCUUAAAAUAAAAAAAUCAAUCUCCCUGUAUCAUACAAUUGGGAUUUUGUUUUUGCAUAUAAGUUACUUUUAUAUGUAUCUCAAAUCUAUUAUAAUUAAUACUUUAAAAUUUGGUUCCAAUUUGAAAGUAUUUAUUGGAUUGUAAAUUUUUUCGUUUGUUGAAAAAAGAAAUUGUAAUCUCUUUGAAAGGAAAUCCUUAAUAUAUUUUGUUUUAUUUAAUUUAUUGGUUUUUUGAAAUUUUUUUAUGGGUUUGUUUUUGGAAAAGCCUUAAAAGCUGAACUGGGUUUUGUUUAUAUUUGUUUUUCGAAGCUCUUUUCAUUGUGUUUUUGGCAAAACCCAUAAAAUUAUAGUACCGCGGAUUUCAAGACUAUAGCCUGUUGGAUAUUUUUGUUCCAAUUAGGAGUUUGUUUUGUGUGUUUAUUUUGGAAUUUUGGACUUUUCUAUUCAAGCAAAAUCGAUGCUGAUGGAUACGCUUGGGACAUGAAAUUUUUGAAUCAAAUUCAAGGCUGUUUCUAAUUUCGAUUAGUUUUUCUUUUUUGGGUUUAAUUUUCUCUAUAUGAACAGCCUGAUGUUAUGCUUAAAAGAGAAAUUGGAGAAUCGGGGAUUGUAGCAAUUUGGGUUUUCGUUGCCUUUGUUUUUUGGUCUCUUGUGACUAUUAUGAGGAAUAGUAGUUAUGGGCAGCAGCUGCAGCAGAAGAAUUCGCAGGGGCGACCGAACAAUGGAUUUUUACCAAGCUCGUUUAGGGCGAUUUCUAGCUAUUUGAGGAUUGUUUCGUCUGGGGCGUCUACGGUGGCGAGGUCUGCUGCCUCUGUCGCGCAAUCCAUUGUGGAUAGAGAUGGUGAUGGUAACAAUGAUCAGGUCCAGUGGGCUGGGUUUGACAAGUUAGAAGAUGGUGGUGAUGUGAUUCGGCAGGUUCUUCUGUUGGGCUAUCGGUCUGGUUUCCAGGUUUGGGAUGUUGAGGAAGCUGAUAACGUUCGUGACCUUGUUUCUAGACAUGAUGGUCCUGUUUCGUUCAUGCAAAUGCUACCAAAACCAAUAGCAUCAAAGAGGUCAACAGACAAGUUUGCAGACAGCCGACCUAUUCUGGUAGUUUGUACUGAUGGGACCCUUUCUGGAGGUAGUACCACUCAAGAUGGAUUAGCUACUCCGUACAAUGGGAGCGUCCCUAACCACUAUGAUCUGGCUAACAGUAGUUUUUUGCCCACCAUUGUACGGUUUUAUUCCCUGAGAACUAAAUCUUACAUACAUGUGCUGAAGUUCAGAUCAAUUGUUUGUUCUGUGAGGUGUAGCACUCGAAUUGUUGCCAUUUCUCAAGCAGCUCAGAUACACUGUUUUGAUGCAACGACAUUGGAGAGAGAAUAUACAAUUCUCACAAAUCCUAUAGUCUCAAGUUAUCCUGGUUCUGGAGGUACAGGCUAUGGUCCUCUUGCAGUUGGUCCCAGAUGGCUGGCUUACAGUGGAAGUCCAGUUGCAGUCUCUAAUUCUGGACGUGUAAGCCCACAACAUCUAACACCUUCACCAAGUUUUUCUGGUUUCAAUUCAAAUGGGAGUUUGGUUGCACAUUAUGCAAAAGAAUCGAGCAAGCAACUUGCUGCUGGAAUUGUGACACUAGGUGACAUGGGAUAUAAGAAGUUGUCCAGGUAUUGCUCAGAGCUUCUACCUGAUUCCAAUGGUUCCCUUCAAUCAGGGAGUCCUGGCUGGAAAGUCAAUGGUACUGUUAAUGGCCAUUUGCCAGAUGCAGAUAACGUAGGAAUGGUGGUUGUCAGGGAUAUUGUCAGUAAAUGCGUCGUUGCCCAAUUUAGGGCACACAGAAGUCCUAUUUCAGCAUUGUGCUUUGAUCCUAGUGGGACCCUCUUGGUUACUGCCUCUGUUCAUGGUCAUAACAUAAAUGUUUUUAAAAUAAUGCCUGGACUCCUGGGAAGCUCCUCCACAGGUGAUGCGGGUACAUCUUAUGCACAUCUUUACAGGCUGCAACGUGGAUUUACAAAUGCAGUUAUACAGGACAUCAGUUUCAGUGAUGACAGCAACUGGAUUAUGGUAAGUUCCUCAAGGGGGACAAGCCAUUUAUUUGCUAUUAAUCCAUUUGGAGGAUCAGUGAACUUCCAAACUUCAGAUGCUAGUUACACCACUAAAAAUAAUGGAUUUGGUGUAAUGACUAAGUCAGCUGUUCGUUGGCCGCCCAAUUUAGGUUUACUAAUGCACAAUCAACAGAGCAUUUGUGCAACUGGUCCCCCAGUAACACUCUCAGUUGUCAGCAGAAUAAGGAACGGAAAUAAUGGCUGGAGAGGUACUGUAACUGGUGCUGCAGCGGCUGCAACAGGCAGGUUGGGUUCCCUUUCAGGUGCUAUUGCUUCAUCUUUUCAUUACUCCAAAGGUAACAAUGUUUUAUAUGUGGAUGGCACCACAUUGAAGACAAAGUACAGCCUUCUUGUUUUCUCUCCUUCGGGUUGUAUGAUACAGUAUGUCCUGCGAAUAUCAAUGGGUAUAGAUUCAAUAAAUGUUGUGUCCGGAUUAGGGACAGCUCAUGAAUCUGUUCCAGAAAGUGAUGGAAGGUUAGUAGUUGAGGCAAUUCAGAAGUGGAAUAUUUGUCAGAAACAGAACCGAAGAGUGCAAGAGGAUAAUGUUGACAUAUAUGGUGAGAAUGGGAAUUCAGACAGCAAUAAGAUAUAUCCAGAAGGCAAAAAAAACGGAAAUAGUGUUCAUCGUGAAGGUAGUGGUGCAGCUACAAAAGCGAAGAUCAGCCUUGAGGAAAAGCAUCAUUUGUAUAUUUCAGAAGCUGAACUACAAAUGCAUCAACCUCAUGUUCCAGUAUGGACAAAGCCCGAGAUAUACUUUCAAUUGAUGAUGGCAGAGGGGAUAAAAAUGGAUGUUGAAACUGCAAUACGAGGGGAAAUUGAGGUUGAAAGGAUUCCAAUCCGUAUGAUUGAAGCAAGGUCGAAGGAUUUAGUUCCAGUUUUUGACUAUCUUCGACAUACAAGGUGUGCUGAAAUUUUUUAUUAAACUCUUCCUUCCUUUUGAUUUUAUGUCUUGCUUUGAAUUUAAGGGAAAUGUCUCGACAUGUUGCAAGGCUGGGUUGGGAAAGAUGGUCAAAAUAAUAAAGAAAUGAUCUUAGAUGCCUAAUGCGAAUGACUGUAUCCUCUGUUCUGUGGUCAAACAAAUCCAAUGCCGUGAAGUAGAUUUAGUUGGUUGGUCUUUGGGAUGGAAUGUUUGGAUUACGAGGGAAUAUAUUGUAUAUGUGAGCUACUUAAAUUGAAGGGAUGUUGUCAAUCAUGCUGAGACAAGUUUGGAUAUUUAGUCAUGCAUCAAAUUUAUAAGCCCAAGCACCGUGCUUUAUCGGCUAGUUGCUGUAAGGGAUGACUACUUGCCAAAAUGUAUUUUAUUAUUGGAAACCUUUAUUAGAAUGUGGAUUACCAGAUUCAUUUAGCUGCGGCUUUUUUUUUCCUCUUUCUUUUUUAACCUUAUUCCUUGGUGUUUAGUGAUAAUCCUGAAUUUAUCUUAUGCGUAUAGGAUUUCUGUGUUAGAUAGUAAUGUGAAUGGGCAACUGCACCAUCGAAGGUCUGUGCUGUCUGAAAAUGGCAGGCUUUCACAUAGGAGCAGCUCUGGCUCGCUUGAUUCCAUGACUGAUUGUGGUGUUGUAGCUGCCGAUCAUCAGAAUGGGGUUGAAGAGGCUGGGUGGAAUGGUCCUAGGAUGCCAGUAGAAGCUAUGGGCUUUGUAAAUAGUAGUGACAGCCCCAAAAGAGAUACUUGGCUUGAGAAUGUAAAUAAUAGAGAGCACUUAAGAACAGAAGCUCAACUCAAGUUUGUAAAUAGUAACAGUGGGGGCCCAAAAGUGGAGAAUCAUUUUGAAGAUGAGGACGAUGAGUUUGAUUAGAGGUGUGCAGCUAUUCUUUUAUUUUGCUGGAAGGUUCAUUAACCAUGUUAAUAUUUGUGGAUGGAAUUGUAGACAAGAAUGAGAGGCUCAGAGGGCUCGACCGUGAAGCGGAAAUGUGGAUACUAUAGCAGUCUUCUGUUGGCGUUGUAGAUAACAGACAUAUAUUCACAAUAAUCAGUUGUAAUAUGUAAAUAAAUAUAGAAUAACCUUAUAUAACUCUCGGUCGCUUUUUUUUUUUUUUUA